CAAUAGCGUAUAUUUAAGUUGUUGCAGUUAAAAAGCUCGUAGUCGGAUUUUGGCUGAGAACGAUCGGUCCGCCGUUAGGUGUGCACUGAUUGGUCUCAGCUUCCUGGUGAGGAGGUGUGCUUCACGGCCACUUAGUCACCGUGGUUACUUUGAAAAAAUUAGAGUGUUCAAAGCGGGCUUACGCUUGAAUAUAUUAGCAUGGAAUAACACCAUAGGACUCCUGUCCUAUUUCGUUGGUCUCGGGACGGGAGUAAUGAUUAAGAGGAACAGUUGGGGGCAUUCGUAUUUCAUUGUCAGAGGUGAAAUUCUUGGAUUUAUGAAAGACGAACUUCUGCGAAAGCAUUUGCCAAGGAUGUUUUCAUUGA
rnacentral:rRNA from 1 species